GCUUCUCACCUAUUUUUCGUACACUAGCUGAUGUUUGGGUAGGAUUGGAUUGAUUUCUAGCUUAGGUAACUCAAUUUUCAACCCAAAGUAUGGCCAGAAUUUCAAGCCGAAUUUCGGGUUGAAAUUUUGGCCAUUUCCGGUUAUUUUUCGGGGUAGGUCCAAGAACAAAAGUGGCUCCAAUCGAUGUCCUGAACUUGUGGUAGGAAUCUUGGC
rnacentral:lncRNA from 1 species